GACGAACGCUGGCGGCGUGCUUAACACAUGCAAGUCGAACGGAAAGGCCCUGCUUUGUGGGGUGCUCGAGUGGCGAACGGGUGAGUAACACGUGAGUAACCUGCCCUUGACUUUGGGAUAACUUCAGGAAACUGGGGCUAAUACCGGAUAGGAGCUCCUGCUGCAUGGUGGGGGUUGGAAAGUUUCGGCGGUUGGGGAUGGACUCGCGGCUUAUCAGCUUGUUGGUGGGGUAGUGGCUUACCAAGGCUUUGACGGGUAGCCGGCCUGAGAGGGUGACCGGCCACAUUAGGACUGAGAUACGGCCCAGACUCCUACGGGAGGCAGCAGUGGGGAAUAUUGCACAAUGGGCGGAAGCCUGAUGCAGCAACGCCGCGUGCGGGAUGACGGCCUUCGGGUUGUAAACCGCUUUCGCCUGUGACGAAGCGUGAGUGACGGUAAUGGGUAAAGAAGCACCGGCUAACUACGUG
rnacentral:rRNA from 1 species